GACGAACGCUGGCGGCGUGCUUAACACAUGCAAGUCGAACGGAAAGGCCUCUUUCGGGGGGUACUCGAGUGGCGAACGGGUGAGUAACACGUGAGUAACCUGCCCUUGACUUUGGGAUAACUUCAGGAAACUGGGGCUAAUACCGGAUAGGAGCUCCUGCUGCAUGGUGGGGGUUGGAAAGUUUCGGCGGUUGGGGAUGGACUCGCGGCUUAUCAGCUUGUUGGUGGGGUAGUGGCUUACCAAGGCUUUGACGGGUAGCCGGCCUGAGAGGGUGACCGGCCACAUUGGGACUGAGAGACGGCCCAGACUCCUACGGGAGGCAGAAGUGGGGAAGAUUGCACAAUGGGUGGAAGCCUGAUGCAGCAACGCCGUGUGCGGGAUGACGGCCUUCGGGUUGUAAACCGCUUUCGCUCAUGACGAAGCUUUGUGUGACGGUAGUGGGUAAAGAAGCACCGGCUAACUACGUG
rnacentral:rRNA from 1 species